rnacentral:rRNA from 1 species
UUGGAGAGUUUGAUCCUGGCUCAGGACGAACGCUGGCGGCGUGCUUAACACAUGCAAGUCGAACGGAAAGGCCCUGCUUUUGUGGGGUGCUCGAGUGGCGAACGGGUGAGUAACACGUGAGUAACCUGCCCUUGACUUUGGGAUAACUUCAGGAAACUGGGGCUAAUACCGGAUAGGAGCUCCUGCUGCAUGGUGGGGGUUGGAAAGUUUCGGCGGUUGGGGAUGGACUCGCGGCUUAUCAGCUUGUUGGUGGGGUAGUGGCUUACCAAGGCUUUGACGGGUAGCCGGCCUGAGAGGGUGACCGGCCACAUUGGGACUGAGAUACGGCCCAGACUCCUACGGGAGGCAGCAGUGGGGAAUAUUGCACAAUGGGCGGAAGCCUGAUGCAGCAACGCCGCGUGCGGGAUGACGGCCUUCGGGUUGUAAACCGCUUUCGCCUGUGACGAAGCGUGAGUGACGGUAAUGGGUAAAGAAGCACCCGCUAACUACGUGCCAGCAGCCGCGGUGAUACGUAGGGUGCCAACGUUGUCCGGAUUUAUUGGGCGUAAAGGGCUCGUAGGUGGUUGAUCGCGUCGGAAGUGUAAUCUUGGGGCUUAACCCUGAGCGUGCUUUCGAUACGGGUUGACUUGAGGAAGGUAGGGGAGAAUGGAAUUCCUGGUGGAGCGGUGGAAUGCGCAGAUAUCAGGAGGAACACCAGUGGCGAAGGCGGUUCUCUGGGCCUUUCCUGACGCUGAGGAGCGAAAGCGUGGGGAGCGAACAGGCUUAGAUACCCUGGUAGUCCACGCUGUAAACGGUGGGUACUAGGUGUGGGGUCCAUUCCACGGGUUCCGUGCCGUAGCUAACGCUUUAAGUACCCCGCCUGGGGAGUACGGCCGCAAGGCUAAAACUCAAAGGAAUUGACGGGGCCCCGCACAAGCGGCGGAGCAUGCGGAUUAAUUCGAUGCAACGCGUAGAACCUUACCUGGGUUUGACAUGGAUCGGGAGUGCUCAGAGAUGGGUGUGCCUCUUUUGGGGUCGGUUCACAGGUGGUGCAUGGCUGUCGUCAGCUCGUGUCGUGAGAUGUUGGGUUAAGUCCCGCAACGAGCGCAACCCUUGUUCUCUGUUGCCAGCACGUUAUGGUGGGGACUCAGUGGAGACCGCCGGGGUCAACUCGGAGGAAGGUGGGGAUGACGU